GGUUCCAUGGUCUAGUGGUUAAGAUAUUGUACUCUGAAUCCAGUAACCUGAGUUCAAAUCUCGGUGGAACCU